CCUACGGGAGACAGCAGUGGGGAAUAUUGGACAAUGGACGAAAGUCUGAACCAGCCAAGUAGCGUGAAGGAUGACUGCCCUAUGGGUUGUAAACUUCUUUUAUAUGGGAGUAAAACAGGGUAUGCAUACCCUCUUGUAUGUACCAUAUGAAUAAGGAUCGGCUAACUCCGUGCCAGCAGCCGCGGUAAUACGGAGGAUCCGAGCGUUAUCCGGAUUUACUGGGUGUAAAGGGAGCGUAGGGGGUUUGGUAAGUCAGUUGUGAAAGUUUGCGGCUCAACCGUAAAAUUGCAGUUGAAACUGGCAGUCUUGAGUACAGUAGAGGUGGGCGGAAUUCGUGGUGUAGCGGUGAAAUGCUUAGAGAUCAAGAAGAACACCGAUUGCGAAGGCAGCUCACUGGACUGCAACUGACACUGAUGCUCGAAAGUGUGGGUAGCAAACAGGAUUAGAUACCCCUGUAGUC
rnacentral:rRNA from 1 species